AAGCGGACUAGCCCGGGUGGUUAGGCGUCACCUCCACCGCAAACCGUCUUCAGCGGGGGCGAGAAAGCCGGGAAGGCUCCUGACGGCGGGAGGGUCCGAGGAGCCGACGUAGAAGCCUCGUCCCACGAGGGCAGAGGUGACGUGUCGACACCCGGAGGGGUGUACGCCACGUCUUGACGGCGGGCACCGGGUCAGGCGCGGAAGCGAGCAUCCCACCCGUCGACAUCUGUCGCCCGUGGGGUCGCGGGGUGGAGGAGGCUCGUCGGGUAGCCCCCCUGUCCCGACGGAGACGACCCGGUCGUCCGCGU
rnacentral:SRP_RNA from 1 species